rnacentral:lncRNA from 1 species
UGUGUAGGGAUGCCACUGUGAUGUCUCAAGUAGAAGAAUCGUGAAAAGAGUAUUUUGUAUCCAUUCAUAUUAUUAAAACUUCAUGCAUGUGUGAUAUGCUUGAGAUGCUUAGUUAUAAUCAUGAUGUAUGAUUAUAUUUUCAUAUCUUAGAUAUAUGAUGAGAUGCCAUGAUUAGUUGUUAUGAUUGUUAAGAUACAACUAU